UCUCCCGCACUGCCGGCAUAUCUCGAGCGCGUGCGUGCGUGCAGCUCUAGGGCCACGAGAAGGGGCACAUGGUGGCGACACGUUAAUGACCCGCCAACCCGUAGCCUACCGCCGCUGAGUCCACUCACCUGAUCACCGGAGCUUCGAAUGAUGACAAGUGAGUGGCGGGGGCGUCAGGCUCGGCAGUUCAAGAGGAGGAUUUUGCUCAGUCAUUUCGAUAGUGAAAGUGCCGGCGCUGCGGUCCUGGCAAGUUCAGUUCUGGGAUCAGAAAUGGCCAAAAUGAAACCGCUUUCUCAAGAAACAAGUCAGUAAGUAAAGCUCUAUAUAAAUGUAAAGAAUUAUUACUAUUAUUAAUGUGUCUUUCUUUUUUUACAGAACGAAAGUCAUUCCAUGUGACAGACUGCCAGGUGAUGUCUUCAUUAACUAUACACCAAAGUGUCAUCUGCAACAAGAGAAAAUAAACUGAGCAUUAUAUCCAGAGCUGCAUCCUGAGCUUCUCUAGGAGUUACAGAGCAUGCCUAUAGUUGACUGUACAUGGGGCAGACCUGGUAGCAUGUGGCUAAAGAGUGCUAGGCAGCUGCUUAGAGGAGCCCAUGGCUGCUGAUUACUGGGACAAGCUGUGAGGAGUCUGAGAAUUGAUAAACUUGGGGUUUCCUAACGAUGACUGUGAAGAAGGCAUAGCCCCCUAAUGAGCUAAUGAAGGUCUGAGACCAUCUUGAGAAAAAGGUAGGUGAGACCUUAAAUAUCUUGGGGUGCCCAAACAUUUUCAUUAGGCUCCUUUUCUUUUUCCGCAGCUGUCACGCAUGGGCGUCGGAGGGCCGGGGAAAGGCAUGCAAUAACCCGCCGAGACAAGAGGGGUGCCCACCGCGGACUUUGUUGUGUUGUUCUUCUUCCCUCACAGCUCAGAGAAGCAGCCCAGUAAGGGCACUUAACCCCGCCACUUCCGGAAGCUUUGCUAUAAAAGAAGCGCCGACUAAGAUAAAGACGUCUUUUGCCGGAACAAGCUGCACGUGACUCUCAAAAGUCCUUAAAGAAGGAGGAAUCCCUGAUCAGGGGCAGCACAUUGGCGCAAUUUUUUUGUGACCGUUCAAAGGGAUUAUCCGGUUGGCGUCCCAAAGUUUGACUGUUUCCCGUCUGUCCUUCCAUCGCCCGACCACACAGUUCAAUUGUACAAAACUUAAACAACAACACACUAAUCUUACAUAAAAUACUGAAAUGAAAUGUGACAACUGGAACUUGAUGCC